UACGGGGGGGCAAGCGUUGUUCGGAAUUACUGGGCGUAAAGGGCUCGUAGGUGGCCAACUAAGUCAGACGUGAAAUCCCUCGGCUUAACCGGGGAACUGCGUCUGAUACUGGAUGGCUGGAGUAUGGGAGAGGGAUGCGGAAUUCCAGGUGUAGCGGUGAAAUGCGUAGAUAUCUGGAGGAACACCGGUGGCGAAGGCGGCAUCCUGGACCAUUACUGACACUGAGGAGCGAAAGCCAGGGGAGCAAACGGG
rnacentral:rRNA from 1 species